UCUCCCGGCUCCCCGCGCUCUCAACCGCCCGCGCCUGCUGCCAGGCAGCGGCUGGGAUGGCAAGCAGCGGAGGCGAGGCGGUGACGAGAGCAGCGGGUCCGCCAUUGGACGAGGAGGCCUGAGGGACGGGCCAGCGGUGCACAAGGAGAGACCGAGGCGGGUGGCCCCGAGAGAACCAAGGCCAUGGAGGCCAACAUGCCGAAGCGGAAGGAGCCCGGCAGGUCUCUCCGCAUCAAAGUCAUCUCCAUGGGCAACGCCGAAGUGGGGAAAAGCUGUAUUAUAAAGCGAUACUGUGAGAAAAGAUUCGUGUCUAAAUACCUGGCAACAAUUGGAAUUGACUAUGGAGUUACAAAGGUACACGUCAGAGACAGAGAAAUCAAAGUUAACAUCUUUGAUAUGGCUGGACAUCCCUUCUUCUAUGAGGUUCGAAAUGAGUUUUACAAGGACACACAGGGUGUGAUACUGGUCUAUGAUGUUGGGCAGAAAGACUCCUUUGACGCCCUUGAUGCAUGGCUGGCAGAAAUGAAGCAAGAGCUUGGACCUCAUGGAAACAUGGAAAAUAUUAUAUUUGUAGUUUGUGCCAACAAGAUUGAUUGUACCAAACACCGCUGUGUAGAUGAAAGUGAAGGACGUCUUUGGGCUGAAAGCAAAGGGUUCCUGUACUUUGAAACUUCAGCACAAACUGGAGAAGGCAUUAAUGAGAUGUUCCAGCCCAGCCUUUGGCCACAGACUCAUGAGAGACCCCCAUAUGGACUUGGUGCCCAGCUCUGCACAGCUCUCUUCUCUCCAAUGGCCUGCUUUGCAGAUUCUAGCCACCUCCUCAGCUCAAUGAGACUUGUGUCUGCUCAGACUCCAGCUCUCUGUGACGUGGUCAGGAAAUGGACUCCAAGUAGACAACCAGACCUUUUAUGUAUCCAUAGUUGAUUUAUGUGAAAAUGGCGGGAAACGCCCUACCACAAAUAGCAGUGCUAGUUUCACCAAAGAACAAGCAGAUGCCAUUCGCAGAAUUCGAAAUAGUAAAGACAGUUGGGACAUGCUGGGAGUCAAACCUGGGGCCUCAAGGGAUGAAGUCAAUAAAGCGUAUCGGAAACUUGCUGUGCUGCUUCACCCUGACAAAUGUGUAGCACCUGGCAGUGAAGAUGCCUUCAAAGCAGUUGUGAAUGCUCGGACAGCCCUCCUGAAAAACAUCAAGUAGAAAGUAGAGAAAAAAGCCACGUGUGGGACUCAAAUGCAAACAGACUUUCCCUAGAGGUGAAAUAACCAACAUGGAGUUUUCCUUCCCAGAAUCUCACUGCUCUUUUCAUUCAUGUGUUGUCAUUUGUAUAUCAGUAAUUCAGGUGCCCAUUUCAUAGACAUUUUACUGAGAAAUGACCUGCAUUUGUAUGAAGUGAAGAGAACUGAGCGUCGCUUACUUCAUUUCAUAUUUCUAGAUAAUCUGAUUUUUUUCCUCAUUCGUCAGCUCUGUAAUUAUAGUAUCCCUUAGACAUUUCACUUGGGGAAAUCCACGAGGUUCCUGGAGGUAGGGAAGAGAGGACAAGAGGACCCUUUCACUUUUUGUUUUUUACUGAAUUCCUCAUCAGAGAAGAAAAUAACAAAAAUGGAAGCAAACAACAUCAGAAUCCCUGUAAGUUUGGUGUGACCUUACAGAGAAGUUGCUGCUUUUACGAUGAGUUCCUUAGGUGAUAUUUUAACCAUUGAUCUGUAAUGAUGACUCUUGGCAGCCCUUUGGGAGUUUGUAAAAUGAGGUGAUACAGUUCUGAAUUGAGCAAUCCUUUAUGAUAUUCACCCUGUUCCUCUUCUGCAGCCACCAGGGGGAGAGACAAUACAGUCCUAAGAGAAAAGGUGGUGGUAGCCACAAAUUCUAGGUACACUAGCUGCUGCUCAUCCUGUCCCUGGAUCUGAGGCCUUUCCCUUGCCAUAGAAAUGGUUGCUGGUAGCAGUAGAGAGCAUUGUGUACUUGGGAAUGAGGAAUCAGACCCCAAGACAGAAGUACUUGCAGGAGCUAGGUGCAGUAGUAUCUGUCUGUAGUCCCAGCUACUCAGGCUGAGACAGGAGGAUUGCUUGAGCCCAGGAGCUCAAGUCCCACCUGGGCAACAUAGUAACACCUUGUGUCUUAAAAAAAAAAAAGAUACUUACAAGUCGCACUUGAAGAUUAUGCACAUCGGCAGAGGAAAAGGCCAGCCAAGCUCAGGGCAAGCUUGAUGCAGUAGGAGAGACUCCCCGUGAGGCUUAGCCUUUGUCUUAUUGCCAGCCUUUGCCACAGGCAGGUGAGAAAGGCAGGGCCACUCCUCAGCAAAGCUGGCCUCUUCUGCACUUCCUCACCAGUCUUGUUUCUUCCUUUUUUCCCCUCUUCCCCUUCCCCUCUUGUGUUUUUUCUGAACCCCACAUCUGCCAUCGUUUCUCUCCUCUUGAGUCCCUGGCUUCUGGCCACUGCCUCCUCCCUCUUCUAAGCCUUGACCUGAACCUGGUUGACCAGAGACAAGUGUGGAUCCUUUGGGUGGCAGUCAGGGGAAAUCUCAGGGCCUUUAUUGGGAGGAAUCUCUGUAAUUCCUGUUUGGGCUCCAAAUUUCUGAAGAGUAGUAUUUGUAAACUAUAGCUUACAAAAUACAUUCUCUGGCCACAGUCUCCUCCUUGGUAUACAAGGGAUGGAUGAAGUUCCCGUAUUAGGACUGGCACUCCUUACGGUGCUUAUAGAGCCAAUCUCACCACUUGACUCAUUACGUCAUCACUCUUGUUACAUCAUAUUUUUAGCUACAGCCACAUUAACUAACAUUUUUAUAUACUUUCAAUUAGCUGUACUAAUUGGGGCUUGAAAGUAUAUAAAAUCUUCCUAUCCUGUGGAUUUUAAAAAGCUAUCCCAUAUCGGUAGAUAUUAAAAAGCAUCUACCUUACCACCUAAGAAGAAAAGCCACUCUCUUCCAAUCCAAGCCCCUGCAGUCUUGUGGAUUUUCCACACAGCAGCUUUUCACUGUAUGCCUGUACUCGUGCUGCACUGAGCUUGUCAUCAGGAAACCAGAACAUUGCUUUAUCAUAGCACUUUUCAUCUUGGUAAUAUCAAAACAACUUUAUAAAUGAACUGAUUGAUAUAUGUUAUUUCUUGCAAGAUUUUCCUCUGGCCUUUAACUGGCUUCUGAGGCUACAGAACUCCAACCCAGAGUUCUUCAGGACUUAAAUUUUGCUUAAGGAAGGCCUUUAUCAUGCUGAAAGCACUCAGACAUGUCUGCCCUCACAGCAGAAUGUAGAAGUCAUAUGAAUGAGGGAUCAUACAUGGUAGUGUUAGCCCAAAUUGACGUGACAACUCACUGAAUGUGUGGCCCUGUAUAAAAGCCGGUGCCGGUUUUCAUCACUGUUAUUACAUAAUAGAUUGGGAACCUCAUUCAGCCGUAUUGCACAGAUGAGCAAUUAUAGCAGAGAAAAUUCAUUAGUGCUUCCACUCACAUCCUUAUGUGUGAGUUGGUGAAAUUUAGCCUGAGCUUGAUUCUUAGGUCUUGGGACUCAGUUUCCAACCUUCGUAUUAAUGCUAAGAAUGGCCAUAUACCACUUCAUUUACGUAAAAGGAAUAAAAUAAGCAAGUUAAGCUUCAGGGUCCUAGAAUUUUUCUGACUCCUAUAAUCCUUCGGCAGAAUAUGAAGAAAUAACAAAGCAUGAUCUGCAAUGGAAAGGUUUUUUUUUUGGCACUAACUUCAUGCAAAAUUUCACAGACAUCUAUGCAUUAAUUUAAAUUCUUGGUGCAAAUGUGUGCUUUGUAGUUCAACCUUAUUAAAAAUUCUUCAGCCAGUUAGGAUUUCAAAAUACAUUAGUGAGAGUAACAGCUAGCAGAAUAAUUACAAUGGCUAAAACGUUUUUAUAGAGGAUCUUGUUUUUCAAAAAAGAAUAAAAAGUUUGAAUAGCUAUUAUUAAAGAAAAGCCAUGUCUUCAACAUCUGAGUCACCAAGAAGUAACACUUUUUAAACUUGUUAGAAAUCCCUGGAGGCAUUUUAAAUUCAUCUUCUAACCUACCUAAGCACUUUAAAAUACAGGCUCCUUCUGUUCCUCUGUUCCCCUUCAUGCCUCCUUUUGAAUUGAUAUCUCAGCUGUCAAUAUUUCUUUGACUUCAGCAUUGUCAUUUUAUUUCUCUAUAUCAAUGUAUCCUUAGUUUUGUUAGCCUGUUAAUUUAAAAGUCCAGACUUGGGGGUCAUUGUGUUGCUACCCAAGAGAAAAUGCUAUGGUUCUAUAGAUUGCACAUCAUUCUUUAAGGCAUACAUUUACCUCAGGAAACUUACUCUAGUAUGUUCUCAUAUACUGAAUUCUCAACUGAGUAAUUAUUUCUUUAUACCUAUAAACUAGUACCUAAUUCACUGUUAGUUAAACGAGCCAUAGAUAAGGCAGCUAAAUUUCUGAAAGAUAGCCAGAGUAAGUAAGCAGCCACUGCAAGCUCUGAAUCAGUUUCAAAAAAAAAGAAGAAAAAAAAAAAAAAGGAGCUGCGCCCCAUAGAACAAUGACAGCAUCACAAGGGGAAGGGAGGGAUUUUGCCAAAAGUUAGAAAGGGUGGAGCUGUAAGCCAUGUGCAUGGUGCCUUUGACAGUGACAGUGCCCCCUUACAACUAAUUCCACUAGGCAUGGGAAUGUCGCCUCCUUUGCCACUGUACCCCAUCAAGCUUACUCUGAAUCAAAUUUUUGUAAAACUUGAAAAUGAACUUAGCUGCAAAAUAUAGCUAACCACCUAUCAUUGCAAGCUUUGCAAAGCAAAGAGAGGUUCGUACUUCUCAUAAUUGGUAUUUAGCACAAUUGUAAGACACAGUUUUACUGUUUGUUCAUUGUUUUUUUCCAUUAAACUUUUCUAGAGAAGACAAAAGCUUACACUUCUGACAUGGAUAAGUGAGAUGGUGUCUAACGAGCAGUGCAAUAUUAGGCGGUGCAAUAGAGGCCCUGUUGGCGAGAUGAGUUUUGCUGGAGAGCUGGACGGUGUUGGUUAGCUUCCUGCAUUGAUUGCCCCUGGGCAUUCUUCCCCCUUAACUGUGAAAGCAGAGUCUAUAAACUCUUUACUCUUACAAGGUAAUUUACAUAUUUUCUUUCUGUUGAAAUAACUGAAAAUGUUAAAUCUACCAGUUGUUUAUGUCUUGUAAACAGAGUGUCAUAUGUAUUUAAGUUGUGUAUUUUUAUAAAGUAAAGCCAAAUAUCAAGUAAAGCCA